rnacentral:rRNA from 1 species
GUGGGGAAUAUUGGACAAUGGGCGAAAGCCUGAUCCAGCCAUGCCGCGUGUGUGAAGAAGGUCUUCGGAUUGUAAAGCACUUUAAGUUGGGAGGAAGGGCAGUAAGUUAAUACCUUGCUGUUUUGACGUUACCGACAGAAUAAGCACCGGCUAACUUCGUGCCAGCAGCCGCGGUAAUACGAAGGGUGCAAGCGUUAAUCGGAAUUACUGGGCGUAAAGCGCGCGUAGGUGGUUUUGUAAGUUGGAGGUGAAAGCCCCGGGCUCAACCUGGGAACUGCCUCCAAAACUGCAUGACUAGAGUACGGUAGAGGGUAGUGGAAUUUCCUGUGUAGCGGUGAAAGGCGUAGAUAUAGGAAGGAACACCAGUGGCGAAGGCGACUACCUGGACUGAUACUGACACUGAGGUGCGAAAGCGUGGGGAGCAAACAGGAUUAGAUACCCGAGUAGUCC